UUCUGUUUUGAAGUAUAAGGUACUGUAGAUAAUAAUUAGUGAGUCAAAAUCAAAAAGAAUGUAAGUAUAUUUAUACGCACACAUGAAAACUAAACAUGUGAGGUUCGUGGCGGUGUUGUUGUCCCCAAGCUCCGACUCGGACGCGUAGUCACUGUCCCAAACUGAGGCAGCUCAAAAAUUUGUCUUCGUCCGCAGGAGAGGCAGCCGGGCUUGGUCAUCGAAUAUUUUUGCUCGUCUUUGUUCAGAUGUUGUUCGGAGUUCAAACUACCAAAGAUCCUCGAGUGGUCUUCUUUUUGCUCCACUUUGUUGUAAUUAAUCUCUUCAUUCAAUAGCCUGUUUCCAAGUUCAAUUAUUUCUGAAGAAACUGGGAGCUCAAUUCCGGGGUUUACCUUGAGUUUAUUUUCGAGCUUGUCUCUAAUUCCACCAAGGCGCGUCCUUGUUUCUGUGAAUUUGUGGCAUAACAUUGGUCUUCUGACUUGGCAGUGGCAUAAUAUUAUUGUGAAUAGUUGUCCUAGGUGGUUGCCAAUCGCCCACUGAAGCCACUCUGUUGUCAUUGAGAAAUCCUAGUGCCUCGCAAGCAAAUCUGUAUGAUGUGUGCACAACUCCAUUUACUGUUCUCAUGUCUUAGAAACAUGUGCAUCCUUUCUUGAGUUUAGUAGUAUUCACAUAUACUAUUUUUUUCUGAUUGCGGGAUGGGCAUAAUAUAUCCUUCCAACUGAUCUUCAUUUCUUCCUUUUGCUUCACUUCGUGUCUUUCUUCCAUACCUAUUUUGACGGGAACUCUGCAUAUGUUAAUUCUCUGGCUUCCUCACACAUCUUGUGUAUCUGCAUCCACUGUGUGGAAAGUCAAUCUUUCAAUCCAGGGAUCUCUGAAGUGCAUUUCAAAUUGAAAUAUUCUCCAACACGCGUCAUCUCUUGAUCUCAUUGUUUCGUAUUAGCACCGUGGAUUGGCCAUCACCUUUAUUUGUGUAUUUAAAAAGAAAGUGGCAGGUGACGGACGACUACAAAGAUCAACGGCGAUGCGCCGACGGACGACUACAAAGAUCAAUGGCGAUGCGCCUGCUGGUCUUUGGACUGAGAAGAGUACCUUGUUCUGCCGCUUCCGACCUGGGCCGGCCUUGCUCGUCCAAAUGAAGUAAAGGAGAUCAACUUUGUGCCGAAAUCUUUAAUGUUAAAGAGGAUCUCAAGUUCCAAUCAUCACGCGAAGACACAAAUAUUGAGUAUUUUUUAGUAGCAGCCGGCUGAAGCCAUAUCUACCUGAUUAAUGAGGCACUUCAUUUAGACAUCAUUAUUGAGGCUGCAGCCAUCUGCACUGAUGAUCGACGUAUCAUACUGAAAUCAUGUGGGAAUAAGCAUGCGCUUUCCAAUCUCCAUGGACGCCAGUGCCUCGUCUGCCUUCAUCUGCACCGGCCGCUGUAGCGUGGCCCCGGCGUUUUACUCUCAGUUGUUGCUGCUGCCAUGGCGUCGUACGCAUCUGUCUGCUGCUCAACUGCGGCGUACCACCACUUAAGGCGGCCGUCGGAGUCCUAGGGCAAAAUCCAUCCCCAUGCAAGCUCCCUCCACAAGGCAUGGCGGCGGCAUGCGGAAAAAGGAGUCGAAAACGUGGGCGAGGGAUCUUUUCCUCUUAUUUUUGCGUUUGUGAAAUCAUGUGGAUCCUGAGAAAUUACAUCGAUCUUUGUAAUAUGAAUGUAUUUUUUUCUUGGAGAGAUUGCAUAUAUCCACCAA